AUUUUAUCGAUCGGAUGAGGCUUAAUAACUUUUUCCACGAACGUCGCAUCGCUUUGCGGUCUUCGGAGGUCUGAUUCCUCGUAAAGUUUUCUACAGUAAUCAUUCAUCGAUUUAUUUUUUGGGGUCUAGGGGUGACUCCCAGGGCCCAUAUAGCCGAGGCGGUAAACGCACGGGUAUUCAGCAUGACCAUGCUGAGGGUGACGGGUUCGAUUCCCGGUCGGUCCAGGAUCUUUUCGUAAAGGAAAUUUCCUUGACUUCCUUGGGCAUAGAGUAUCUUCGUGCCUGCCACACGAUAUACACAUGCAAAAUGGUCAUUGGCAGAGGAAGCUCUCAGUUAAUAACUGUGGAAGUGCUCAUAGAACACUAAGCUGAGAAGCAGGCUUUGUCCCAGAAGGACGUUACGCCAAGAAGAGGAGGGUGACUCCCAGCUAUUUUUUGCAGAAGUAAAAUUUCCUCAUAGUAAAUCGUAUGAAAAACUAAGAAUGGCGGGCGCUAAAAUAUAGUUUUUCCGAUCGAUCUGAAAUUUUGCACAGUUGAUAUGGGACCAAAGUGGAACUCAAAAAGUAUACAGGAGUUGAAGUUUUUUCCAUUUUUUGUAUUUUUCCAUAUAAACCGUGUACCAGGCUAGUGCACAGGUACCCCACAGGCUGUAGCCAGCCCGGGGCGAUCCGUCUUAAAACACGUGGCUUAAGCGCCACUCCACAAGGGAGACCACAUGCCCAAUUUCAAUUUGCCCGGAUGAGACUCUCCUGAGGGCGAGUCCAUUUGAUAUUUCCGAAAGGAAUUUUACGGAUCGUUCUAGCUAGCUUACGAACCAAACGACCGAACGGUUCACCCUAUUACCACAACAUGACCAUUAAUCCCGAAGGCACUCAGAGAAUCCGGUGAGAGAAUCACGCAUGCUCAAAGUGAGACAACAUUCGCGGUUGCUCACCACUUCUCAUCACUGGCAGACAAGACACUCGCCGCGAUACGCAACAGCAAAGAGGAAACGGACUGAGAACCCCAUCAAUCAAACUCCGUGGACGGAGGACGGGAACGACAUCAAAACGCGUAGUGACGGGUAAUACAUGCAACUAAUCAAACACUAGGGCUUACUAGAACACAUAACGGGACGUUUAUUCAACUUAACACUACAUAGUGGGGUUCAAACGAAUCUAUUGGGCGGUUUAUAUUACAAUAUUUAUUGCUAGCAUUUAUUCAUAAUGUUGUGCGAAUGUGUUCGUUCUCUCUAACUUCCUAUCUUGUGUGCGAUUUUGUCUCUCCCUCUCUUCCUAUCUAUCUACAACGUGCUCAUGUGCUCAUGUGUUCUGUGUGACGUCACGACCCUUGGCGGCGCAUCUGCGGGCUAGUCUGCGCUCCUGGUGUGACAACUGGAUCUGCGGCGGCGACAAUUCUUCACGCACGCACGACGAUCUCCACUUCGAUACGAGGCCUUAGCAGCACAUCGUCUUCAGUCUUGUGACUGGCAAAAAAAGAACUCCGAGGCGCCCACAGCGGACGCCCCACUCCACACAAAAAAGGUUUGGUUUGACUCACCGACUUCGCUGGCUUACGUUACCGCUGUCGUUGACCUGUGGCCCAGGUCAGUGCCCCGUCCGAGACGGGCGUGUUGAACGGCGAUCACCAAUGGCCGUUAUUGGUGAAUGGCGAAUCGCGCGUUUCGCGACCAACGCACUUGCAAUGGCGGUGGCGGUCAAAUUGGUGGAUGGCCUCUGACUCGCGAAUCGUUGAGGUCCCCUGAGCCUCACUCGGUCGAUUUGGUGACGGAUCGACCGACUUCCGGCAGGUUGACGGUUGGCCGGGAAGGUUUUCGUUCGUCGAGGGGAAGUCCACGCGCUUGGGUGCGGGUAGAAUCGCUGCGAAGUAAAUAGCCUUACGGCUAAAACGAACACUGAGCACAGGCACAAAAUGGCACAAACGAGCACAAUUACCUUUUUCUGUUUGCUUCUAAACUAAUUCGCACACAAUUUCUACACGACGCACACUUUCCAAACCCUAGAGAACGAACGAAAUAUUUAAUCAACUAACAUGUACUAAACGUCACUAGAAAAUCCAUACUUUGCUAUGGCAACGAACAAGUUACAAACGCGCACACUUCUUAUUGGCUGGGUAGUCACGAACGAAAUGAUCGAGUCUGUGAUCCUCAGAUUAAGACAAGUGAAUUCUCGGACGAACCGGAAAUUCGUCAUUUCCCGAAAACUCAUCGUACACUUUCGUGAUCGCAAGUCACGAAGGAUAACUCGAUACGAUGGUCGUGCUGCUGUCCCUUUCCAACCUUUCGAAGACAAAAGUGAGCCCGCCUCAGGAAAGAUUCAGCAAAAUGUUCGCAAUCUUCGAUUGCCUACGCUAAGGGAAUUCUAUUCAUUUAAACUUAUUCACGCUCAACAUUGGUUGAGUUUUCAUAGUCUGAUUAUCGACAGACAGUUAUAUAAUAUUUACAAAA